GCGGAUAUGGUGGAAUUGGCAGACACGCCAGAUUUAGGUUCUGGUGGCUUCGGUCGUGGGGGUUCAAGUCCCUCUAUCCGCA
rnacentral:tRNA from 1 species